AUUCUUUGGAGUGCUUAGCAAGCUCUGAUUCUUGGAAGGGAGAUAAGUGAUUCCUUCUUUAAAUUAAAAAAGAAGCUGUUUCCUGAUCCUCCUGUGAGCCCAAGUGAUGGAGCAUGUCCCCUCAAGGCACAAAGCAGCAGGAAUUAGCCAGGUGCUGAUUAGCAGGUGUCCGUAUUGUAAGAGCUAUUUCACAGAAGAAACCUCAUGGAACUAAAGAAAAAUGGUGAAUGGGGACAAAAAAAAGGAUUUCUUUCUUGAAGAAGAGAGAUGCACAAGCCAGGUACUCCUAAAGACCUCACUGCCCCAUUAAUGCAGCGCUACCAGUCCAGAAAGAGCUGUGGGUUGUCCUCUGCUUUGGAAGGAUGUGAUCAAACCUGAGAUGAAGGAAGUUGGAGCUCAAGAGCUGUGGUGUCAUUUUAAUCCUAUCCUCAGCACCAAACUGUGAGUUCUGUCCUCAGGUGAGAGCUGUCACAAUGGUGCCUUAAAGGGGUAGAUAUCUUCUGCUGUGCCCCUCCUAGUGUGCAUAUGAACCGACCUGGAUUUCUGCUGUGCUGGAAACAUGUCUGCAUUUCCCUAUGAAAUAACAUCUUAGUAGGAGGGCUGGAGCUGCUAACCCAAGAAGCUGAACCCAAAUGUCACAUGGCAGCCACCUGGAAGAAGAAUGGGACCUUGCUGUUCAGACAUGGGAUGCUUGCAAGUGCAUUCCUUUCAAAUAAGAAGUUAUGAUGAAGAGUUUAGAGCUGUUGGUUGGAUGCAGUCAGGUGGGGCGUAAAUCACACAGCACAAAUCAGCUUUUUUCAGACACUUGUGUGCAGCACAGGAGCAACGGUACAGCCUAAUGAGCCACAGCUGCAGGGAGGGAACCCUUUCUAGGGCAGCACAGGACAACCCGCAGGAAUGCAGGUAUACGUGCUCAGAGUGUCUAAAUAUAAAUGAUGGAUUUCUGCAAAACAAAACUAUGAGCAGAUUAAACGUUAUAGCCCAAAUCCUGCAUUUUGAUGACCUGGGUGGCUUCCUCUGGCUUUGGGAGCAGCAGUGUUGCUGGAAGCAUGAUGGCUUGACUUUAACAGAAGAAACAUCCAUGCAGCCCUAUGGAAAUGCCCAGGCAGCAUCAGCUGGGGCAGCAUGCAGCAGAGCUUUUCAUUGUGGAGAUAGUUUUGUUGUUUUCUAUACAUAAUUUUCCUUUUUGUGUAUGUGAAAUGCAAUCACUGCUGUCCCCAUACAGCUUUGUAUGACCUCCAGCCUUGCUGCAGGGCUCAGGCAGUGGCUGGGCCGUGGAGCCAGCAGAGGCUGCAGGGUGAGGAUAAAAGCCAUUGAUCUCAUGAAUCCAGGCUGCAGCUCAGUGUCCUGUCAGAGCUCACUGAGGGCUGCUGGCACAGCCAUGGUGGGGAAAUUACAGCUGCGGGCUGAGUAAUGUCUGUGAUCUGCUUGUGUCAAGGGGCCUGGUGUGACAAAUGAAGGAGCUGAUCCUUCCUGUUCAAUGGCUGGUGUGCUCACAUUGCUGUGUGCUGACAGCAGCUGCCAGGGGGCUGUGCUGCUGCCUGCAGCAAGGAACAGGGGACACGGGGUAGCAUGAACCCAAGCUCUUCCAUGGGAUCAGGCUCCAGCACUGCGGGCAUCCCUGGCUCCCACCUGGGCUCUGCCGGGAAUGUUGGAGGGCUGAAGCCAAGCAGGAGGCCUGGCCUUUGGCUCAUGCUGUGAGCUAUCUCAGUGCUUUUUGGAAGCUGUCUGUCUAUGGGUAGCUCAGGAGUGGCUGGGUGCCAGGCUGCUUCCAGGCAGGGGCUGGGAUGGGGCAGCGUUGGGUGGUGGGGAGGGAUGGAGUGUUACAAAGGCUCAUGGUGAAAGAGCUGAUGGAUUCAGUUCAAUCUCUGCUCUUGGUACCAUCUGCAAAUACCUAAAUCUGUAUCUACAUUGUAUGUAUAGUCCUUAUAGUCCAAAGUAGAUCACUAUAUGUGCUUCCUCUUCUGCAGCUCCUAAGCAGUCAGAGCUGGCUGGGUUAGUAGUACUGACCAUGUGCUACUCUUGAAACUGAGAACACAAGACCUGCUUUGCUGCCCUGUCCUUCUUUAACUGAAGCAAUGUUGAUUUGGGAUCAGCAAUGCAGAAGUGAGCCUGUCAGUGUGUGGUGGCAAUGGCAAGGCCUUAGCCAUUGCCAUCAUUGCCAGUAAAUACAUACUGACACUUAAUUCAUAGCAUGCUUGGCACAGCUGUGCGUCUUCUGCAUCCACGUGUAAAGGUAAAUGGGACCUUUCCUACAACAUCCACCUCCAUUUCUGAUUAAAACUGCCUUGUGGUCUCUCUUUCCACCAUGGUUAUUCCAGCAUUCAUCAAGUUUCUGCUUGAGGCCGAGGUGUGUAGACAGCACUGGAAAGUCGUACCAAGCCGUGCUUACAGCACAGCCCUGACAAGCAUUGGCUGAUAGCGGCGCGAUGUAACUUUGGUGUCUGCCGAGGACAGUGCGCACAUUCGGGCCCUUCUCUUCCCUGUUCCUCGGCAGCAGUUACUUUUGCAAGUCCUUGAGGUGUUCCUGCACUCCUAAACACCCUCCCCCUGCAGCAGAAGGAAGGCUCGCUCUGUCUGUCGGUCCGCCUGCCCCGCGCAUCACGGCGCUUCCCGGCACCAGGUGGCGCUGGCUGCCUUCCGAUGAGCCAAAAGCGCUCAACUUUUCUCGUUCCUUUUCUAUACUGCCCCCCGACUCAAAACCCCGGCCCGGCCCGACCCAGGGAUGCUCCGGGCUGUGGAUGGGACCCAGGAGCCACUGCAGCCCCGGGAUGGGCAUAUACCGCGCGUGAAGGCUGAGGGAACAAACCCUAAUGUAGGAAAACAGCCCCCGGCCCCAGCUCAUUAACAGGGAGGCCGCUAAUUGCCUUCUCCGCUGACCUCGGGCUCGUCGGGCGCAGCCGUUCCCCUCCAUGCUCCUGAGCUGCCCGCAGCCGUGGCCCCUCUCUCUGCGAUGGGCUCCGCGCCUUGAGGCGUGGGGUGGGACAUGGGGAGCCCCGAUGG